rnacentral:tRNA from 1 species
GCGGCGAUGGUCUACCGGUCAAGACGCUGCGUCAAUGUGUCUUGCAAACACAAGCUCUUUCGGACAUCAAUUUCGCAGAGUUGCGAGGUGUCCACUAUGGAAGACGCAGAGAUCGUGAGUUCGAAUCUUACUCGCCGCA